rnacentral:rRNA from 1 species
GUGCCAGCAGCCGCGGUAAUACGUAGGGGGCGAGCGUUGUCCGGAAUCAUUGGGCGUAAAGAGCGUGUAGGCGGCUUGGCAAGUCUGACGUGAAAGCCCGCGGCUCAACCGCGGAUUGUCGUUGGAAACUGCCUCGCUAGAGUCCGGAAGAGGAGAGCGGAAUUCCUGGUGUAGCGGUGGAAUGCGCAGAUAUCAGGAAGAACACCCGUGGCGAAGGCGGCUCUCUGGGACGGUACUGACGCUGAGACGCGAAAGCGUGGGGAGCGAACAGGAUUAGAUACCCUGGUAGUCC